rnacentral:rRNA from 3 species
GGACUACAAGGGUUUCUAAUCCCGUUCGCUCCCCUGGCUUUCGCGUCUCAGCGUCAGGUAAGGUCCAGGAGCCCGCUUUCGCCACGGGCGUUCCUUCCGAUCUCAACGCAUUUCACCGCUCCACCGGAAGUUCCGGCUCCCCCUACCCCCCUCGAGGCCGGUCGUAUCGGCGCCCAUUCCCCGGUUGAGCCGGGGGCUUUCAACGUCCGACGUGCCGGCCCGCCUACACGCGCUUUAAGCCCAGUGAUUCCGAAUAACGUUCGCACGGUUCGUCUUACCGCGGCUGCUGGCAC